rnacentral:misc_RNA from 1 species
GAUGAAGAACGCAGCGAAAUGCGAUAAGUAAUGUGAAUUGCAGAAUUCAGUGAACCAUCGAAUCUUUGAACGCACAUCGCGCCCGGCAGUAAUCUGCCGGGCAUGCCUGUCCGAGCGUCAUUUCUACCCUCGAGCGAGUCCAGCAUCUAGGUGCUGGGCCUCGCCCGGCGUUGGAGCACUACGGGAAGCCCUGUGCUGUCCCCCGUAGGCCCCGAAAUGAAGUGGCGGUCCUGCCGCGGCGCCCCCUGCGUAGUAUAACAGCUCGCUUCGGGACCCGGUGGAGGCCUGCCGUCAAACCUAUACUCUCUAAGUUUGACCUCGGAUCAGGUAGGGUUACCCGCUGAACUUAAGCAUAUCAAUAAGCGGAGGA